CUCAGUUGGAGGCUGCUCAGUAACGCUCAGCGCUCACCGGAAAAGUGCUUCUAAUAUCCUUCACUGGUCUCCGUCCAGAGACACGGGGUCUGGUGGUUCAUUUCUUUAGCUGUCUAUGAACAACUUAUAAAGAAGUUCAGCCGACUCUGCAGCAUAACGUGUUCCAAGUGCUGCUGGUAUUUUGUUUGCCAGCUUUUUCCACUGUUUGCACUUUCGUCCUGAUAAGGGCUUUCGCCAGCGGCCUCUUCAAAGUUAGACCGAGAACGAUUUGUUGCCACCGAUUCCUGUUUAUUCAAGAUGCUGUGCUCUCUGCAUGAUCUCGCGCGGUAGCCGCAAAGAGGGGUAUCCAUCAGGCAAGUGUAAUUUAAAUAUAAUUCUGGUGUAGUUACAAACUUUUUAAUGCCUCAUUUUAUAAGUACAGAAACUAUUUGUACUACUGUAGACGUUU